UCCCCACCUUUUUUGACCUGUGGGUGCUUUAUUUGGGGUGAUGAGAGCUCUCAUUUGUGCUGGGGGCAGUUCUGAGCUUACAGGCCACUGAAGUCUUCAUAUACAACAGGGCCUUUUCCUUUUGUGGUUAGGUAGUCC
rnacentral:miRNA from 1 species